rnacentral:tRNA from 4 species
GGGGCUGUAGUUCAGACGGUUAGAACGCCGGCCUGUCACGCCGGAGGUCGCGGGUUCGAUCCCCGUCGGCCCCGCCA